rnacentral:rRNA from 1 species
AAUAUCAAAGGUGAGCCAGUACAGGAUGGACCCGCGUCUGAUUAGCUAGUUGGUAAGGUAACGGCUUACCAAGGCGACGAUCAGUAGCCGACCUGGGAGGGUGAUCGGCCACAUUGGAACUGAGACACGGUCCAAACUCCUACGGGAGGCAGCAGUGGGGAAUAUUGCACAAUGGGCGAAAGCCUGAUGCAGCAACGCCGCGUGGGUGAUGAAGGCCUUCGGG